GCACGAACCGUGCAACGUUGUUCGGAAUCACUGGGCUUAAAGGCGCGUAGGCGGGCCAGCCAGUCUGUGGUGAAAGCCUCCAGCUUAACUGGAGAAGUCGCCGUGGAUACUGCUGGCCUCGAGGAGGAUACGGGGCAUCUGGAAGCGGUCGGUGGAGCGGUGAAAUGCGUGACUAUCGACCGGAACUCCGGUGGCGAAGCGAGG
rnacentral:rRNA from 1 species